UUUUUUUUGCCUUUCUCUACCUUAGGAUCUCUUGUGUUUUUUCUUCACUCUGCUCUUCUCUCACAGUCUUUAAUUCAUUCCUCUUUUGUUUGCAGCUCUCUCCAUCUGCCUCUGUCUUCCUUCUCUGUCAUUCCGCCUGUCCUUCCCAUACUCAGGUUAACAUAUACGCAUGACAAUCUUCCUGCGCAGGUUUUUUGCCUUUACUUCUUUCCUUCUCCCUGCUUAUGACGUCUGCUUGCUUUUUUAUUAUUCAUUCCUCUCCUGUUAGCCUUUUCCUUCAAUUCCUGCACUUAAAUUUACUCUUUAAACCCUCCUCUCUCUCUUUCUCUCUCUCUCUUGUGCUCUCUCUCUCUCUCUCUCUCUCUCUCUCUCCCUGUGCCCCUGAGGGCAUACUGUCAUCCACAAAGAUGUGGUUCUAAUUUAUUCUCUGUCUCUGCUAUCUCUCCUCAACUCCCCUCCUGCUUUCUAUCUACCUACUAUCUAUCUACUAACUGAAGUCAGUACUUUACAUGCACGUUCAUAAAUUGCAAGUAUAGACAAAGUUAAUACUAUUAGGGAAAGAAAAAUACCUCAGAAGAAAGAUGUCAAAAGAACAGCAAUCAGGUAAGAUAAUAGCAAAAGAGGUUGACAAACUAUGUGGACUAACCAGACUGUACAGUAUAUCACACUGCUACUGACCGGAGCAUUGGGGUAGAAGGUGGGGGGUGGGCAGGAAACAUUAUGUCAUCCGUAUACAAGUCAAUACAAAUGUUGAAAGAUAAAUUAAAUAGCAUGUGCUAAAAAGGAAUUGAAAAAAGGAGUACAUGCGGAUUACCUGUGAUGUCUAUUAAGCAGAAGAAAAACAUGAGUAGAAACACAAGGAGACUUUGAGGACACCACAUAUUUAAACCACGGAGUAAAACAGACGCAGGCAUUUAAGAAAGCAAAAACGAACAUCGGACAAGAGUGAGCGUCUACACAUCUAGAUGAAGAAAGUUAAAAGAAGAUUAAUAAAAAUCCGAAUAAAUGAAAAGCAACAUCGACGGAGGAUCGGAACAACGAUAUGGAUAAUCGUUUUGAGCUGUCCUGAAGUGCCGAGUGCGUUUCAGAUUUCAGAACGUCGGACAGCGCGCGCACACUGUUCGCUUGUUUACCCGUAAGAGGGGAAUACACGUUCAGCUGUUUCCCAGCACUUUAUAUUAAUUGUGCAAUAUUUUGUAAUUUCAUCGUUACAAGACAUUUAAGAUUUACCACAUUUGUGCGCUGUAAUUUUGUCGCAAAUGCAACGAUACAUAACCGAAUGUUCUUUUAUGUCGUAUGUUUUCUUUCCUGAAUGCGGCGCUUGCCACAUUUAUGACCAUAAAACCAUCAGCUAUUCCCUCUAUAUCAGUCCAAUGGCUCAAUGGGAUUUUGCGUUAGCCACAAUGUUGGUGGAAGAAUGGGAUUUCAAAGAGAAAAUGUGCUGUUCAUUUAAAAAACUUUCAUCGGGGUCAUACCCUGGACAAGAAAAGCAUUUAGGAAGAGCAGCUGGAGAAAAUGAAGUACAAGGAAGAGAGUGUACUGAGGAGACACUCACAGGACGAAGGGAGGUACUGCAGAAGCACAAAAUACUGCAGUCUCCCCCUCCCUUUCAGUGCAGCAUAGAUGAACUACAAUAUCCUCUCUGUCCGAAUGCUGGGUGAUGGAUCUUACUUUCUUGGCCCUGCCUGGAUGGUCCUCGCACCAGGAGGAUUUGUCUAAUACUCCCCUCUAGUGGUACUUGCCUGCUGAAGUGCCUGUGUUGUGCCUGAGCUGCAGUAAAAGGAUAAGAUCUUUGACCAACUGGGGCCUUGCGUACCUCAAGCUGUCUGUACAAUGCCUGACUAAAAAUAAACAAUGUAUAUAGGGCCAUGACACAGGUUAUGAAAUCAACACAUUGCAGUACUUUUAUCACUUCAGUUUAAUUAUUAAAUUACCACUAGGGAGACCAAUCUUAUCAAAGAAGUUCAGAUGUAGUGCAGGUUUUUGUUAUAGCUCAGCAUUAUGACACCUGAUUUAACCAACUAAUUAUAAACUAAGAACCUAAUCAAUUGAAUCAGGUGUUUUACAACUGAUUAAACUAAUCUACAACAAAAAAAAUGUUUUUGGUGUAAAACUAGCCCACUGUAGGUAAGACACAACACUCAUGGUUUAGAAUUGUACCCUUGCACCAACAAAUUCUGCAGGUGGUUUGAUUGUGCAAGUGGCAUGGAUCCUUUAACUGCUUGCCACUGAUUACUUUAAUUACAUACAGUGAUGCCUUGAGGAUAAUGACUGAAAUGCAAGUUAAAUGUUUCCCAACCCUAGUCACAUGUUCAGGAAGAAAGCCAUGGUCCUAAGAUGAAAUGGAUGACAUUACACAUAUGCUUGUUAAUGUUUUGGGACAGUUCUGGAAUACAUGUAAAUACAUUAAAAAAAUAUAUUACAAGUAAUAUUAUAUUAUUGACUUCUGUCUGUUCUGGCCCUCUGGUGGUGAAAUGAGCUUCCCACUGUAGUCAGAACUGCAGAAACCCUGCCCUUCUUUUAACGGAGCCUGAAGACUCAACUCUUUGGAUUGCACCAUGGUGCCCCUGACUCACUUAUCUAUUCUUCAAAUUUCCUUUUGGAAUAAUGUUAUAGGCAUAACUUUAUAGAGAUUAUCAGUCCAGUGGUAUUUUCUUUUGUUACAAUACAAAUUGUUGCCUGUUAGGUUAACGUUGCACUUAAUGAUUAUAAAUGGACCUUUUGUAUUCCUUAGACUAACACUGAUGUCCUUCCCUUUGGAUAAGAGCAACUUCUAAGUGAUUGUAAUCUAAUGUAAUGCAACAUAAUUGUGUAAAUAUUAAUGAUAUCCGUAAUGUAUUUUUGCUCCUUUCCUCCCACUAUCUAAUUGAGGAGCAGUUUAGCUACUCAUUGCUACCUUAACAAUUUGAAAUUUGGCUCACUCUUUUCUUCUCCAUCAUACUUUUAAAGAUGGCAUGCAGGCCUUGAGAGUCCCUAAUGAACAAAUUGCUCUCCCGCACUCAUGGUGGACAUACGGCGUCCCUAACCCCCUUAUUUGUACUUUUCCAUCCUAUUUUCACCCCUCAAAGUGCUCCCUCACCUGAAUAUUCAUUGUGCCUGGAGUUUCUUACACCUCACUGGCCUACCUGCUGACCUCCAUUACUCAGUCACAGUUUCUCGGUUUACGGUAAGAGCAAACGGAACUACGAAGUGGAAUGCAAUCCCUGCUCUGCCAAAAUGAAAGCAAAAAUGGGUAUCCACCUUUCUAUAGGCAGCCUUAAAAUUAAAACACUUAAACAGCUAGUCACAGUAACCGUCGUCCAACUUGUGAGACGAGCUUUGCUGAGGUGACGGUGCAAAGCACAUAGUGAUCUUUUAUGUUUAUUAUGAGUGUAAAUAAACAUUUUGGCUUUUUCUUGAACUAUGGCAGGACAAAAUAACCUGUGGUGGGCCACAACAGCUUAGUUAAUGGGAAACACUGUGAUUAUAAAUUUGAAAAAUAUAAAAACAAAGCACCACAUUGGGCACUAUGGGCAGAAGUAUGUAGGUAUUUUUGUAGCAAAAGUCACAAAUCUGUAGAAUGGUUUCACAAAUCUGUAGAAUGGAUUCACAAAUCUGUAGAAUGGAUUCACAAAUCUGUAAAUGGUUUCACAAAUUUGUAGAAUAGAUUCACAAAUCUGUAGAAUGGUUUCACAAAUCCGUAGAAUGGUUUCACAAAUCUGUAGAAUGGAUUCACAAAUCGGUAAAUGGUUUCACAAAUCUGUAGAUUGGGAAAUUGAAGACCCCUUUCAAUUAAAGGGCAAGACUUGUGUGUGCACAGUUAUAACACUGGUAGGUGUAGCUGUAUCUUAAGCUUCUGUGUGCUGCCUGGAAGUAUAGAUCUAUGUGUUUUGAAUCAUGAUGCUACAAAUGUUGUAAGACCUAGAUCUUUGUGUAGUCUAAGGAUGACCUUUUGACUGGGUCAGAAGAAUUUUGCUGCCCACCCACGCAGUUUCUGCAAGUAGGUAUACUGGAACCCUCUGAUGCCAGAAGGGAGCAGGUGGUGGUUGGCAGUCCUGCAGGACCACAGCUUCCUCACAUACAGGUCUGCACACUUCAGAUGAACUAAAAAGCAGAUCACGUGAUGUCCACUGCCUUUGUUAAGCUCAGUGCCUUGGUUGGACAGCUGCUUAGGCGCUGCUGAAUGAAGUGGUGGCGUAUUGUACACUACCUCUGGUAGAGAACUACUACAAAUUUUUGCAUUUUCUUACUAUUCUGAAGAUUCUCCAUUUCUGUGCUGAGGUUUAUCCAUUUGGCUUCUGAUUUAGUUAAUCUUUAUUCCAUGAAGGGAAAUAAAAUGCCAUUUGUUCAAUGCAUUAACAGUUUUAGUCUUUUAUCCACUCAGCACCCACCAUGGCGCCCACACAGAUCACCUUGUCAUACUCCCUGUUUCAGUUUGAAGUACGCAAGCAUACGAAG